GCGCGAGCAGACGCAGAAUCGCCCAUUUCGGCACGAAAUUGGGCGAUUCUGCGUCUGCUCGCGC
rnacentral:sRNA from 2 species